AUCAGAUAUUGUUAUACUUGUGAAAAAUUGCUGAGAAUCACCCACCUUGGGAAAAGGAAAAUGCAAAGCAUCACAAUAACAUGCACCCUAAUGUGCAAUGGCACCCCUUAGAUGUGCAGUGGCAGAGGAUGUAGAUAAGAAUUUGCUCCUAUCCAAGAAGAAAAUGUGCCAUAAGAAUGAAGGUGAAUUUAUCCAUGUGGUGCUACGGUGGCCAGAACAUGCUGUUCACAAGGAUUGAGAUCCUCAAUUGGCAUGCAAGGUAAGCUGUGAGCAAGUUGGUAAGCAAAUGAAAGUGACCUAGCUUUGCAUCUAUAGAGACCCUGGAUCUAAGA
rnacentral:lncRNA from 1 species